GAGUUACGGACCGACAGGACUUUCGCUUCAGCGUUCACCCUCGAUACCUCAGGUCGAUCGUGGCGGGCAGUAGUGCAUGCGAUGUGGAGGGGUAUAGGUGCUCUUCAGGUUAGUCGCCGAGGUAAUCAUGAUGAUUAGUGGCCAACGAAGGAGGCAUCGAUCGAGGGCAGGUGGACUAGACGGAACGGACGGAUGAGGUGACUAAUCAAUUUCGGUUACUUAUCGUAAGGAGGCUCCCAUGAUAUUCACGAGCGCCAGCAGCAGCAGCAGCAGGGGUAGGGGAGAGAAGAGAUAUCGAAUGAUCGUCGUCGCGAGAGAAGAACGAGAAGCGAUAGAUCGAGGUGAAACGAGCAACAGGAGAGGGAGAACCUAGCUAGGCCGGAAGCCGCCGGUACUUAACGCGGCCCCAGCGGCUACCCAACGGACGUCCGCUCGGCCUAUGGCCGCAGCAGCUGGUCGGUGCCUCCUCCUCGACGGACAUCGCAUCGACUCGAUAUCACGAGCCAGCUAGACGACGAAGAACCCCCGCUCCUUCUUCUUAUUGGCUCCGAAUGAGAGCUGCUGUCGUGUUCCGCCUCGGUCUAUUAAAGGCCACUGCGUGUGGUACCUAGGGGUCUGUAAACACUCCGAGAGUCAGCCCGUCGAACCGGACUCCGAGGGGCCGCGUUCACGGUCUUUCCGAACGGUGACGCUCUAGGCCGAGGCUCCGAAGGGCCAAGUCAAUCGAGGCCACGGAGACCUUUUAAGAAGUCUCAAAGUAGAACUAGGCGUGCGCUUACGCCGCCACAAGAGGGACCUGCUCGGGCCGGAGUUCCGCGACGGCUGCAGCUCCACCAAGGCUUGGGGCCUCGGCGGCAUGGAGCUCUAGCAACACAUGCACUCGUCCGCGCUGCCGCCGCCCGUAACGCAGCCCAACUUCGCCGCCGACCAGCCCCGACAGUCCCACCUACAGCCCGGCCUCACCGCGCUGCCGUUCGGACACGACGAAGCGGUACCGACCUGCCCGUAGCCGUCCCGCCGCCUCGACGUGCACUCUCACUCCCACCUCCGACUGGGAGCCAUGCACAAGGCCAAGCUCCUGCUCCAGCGCGACUUGGGCGUCCACCAGGUCGAGGUACCGCCGCGGUCGGUCGGGUAGAAAUCGACGUUCAAGUAGGCGCUGCACUCCGCCCGCAGCGUCGGCCUAGUAAACCCGCCCUUCAUAACCAGCUCGAGGCCUUCGCCGCUUCUCUUCCUCUGCCUCUACCGCCCCUCCUCCUCCCUCUCCUUCCCGACCUUCCACCGCUAGGUGCUGGACAGGCCGAGGCGGCACCGGCGCCGCAAGUACCGGUGCGGCAAGCACGGCCGCUGCCCGAGGCUGUGCCACCGCGCCAGGUUGGGUCCGCGCACCGAGUAGCAGGCGCGGCUGUGUUGCCCUAGCAGCCUCUCGACCGUCGGCACCCCGGCCGACCUCCGCACCGCCCUCACGCGACGCGGCCGCCCGCCGUUCCUGCGGCACACGGAAGCCGACGUAGAGGAGGGCCUCGCCGCCCUGCGCACGCAUGAGCACAGGCUCUGCGGAGACUCGACACUAUUCCCGCCCCUCAAGAGGUAGCUGUACCUGUCUGUCAGCUAGGAGGGCCUCCUGCGUCACCGCAGCCUCUGCUGCAGCAGCAGCAUGACGCGUCGCUCGUACCCUGUCAGCACGCGCCCGCCGCCGAAGCACUACUCGACGUCGCACGUCCCGCUCCGCCGCUGCUCGUCGUCCGGCGGCGACCACGUGGAGCGGCGCGCCGUGCAGUACACGUACCUUCUGCGUCGGUACAAGGAGCGCGAACGCCGACGGCAGCUGGAGUCACAGUUCCGCACGGCCGGCAAGGCCUCGUUCUGCCGCCGCCGAUUCUUCUUCUGCCGACGACCGAGGAGAAGGGGGCUAGGGGACCUCGAGCUGUGCAUCUAAUCGAUCUCGAUCGUCAGGAGUGAGGAGUCAGUUCGUAGUCUAGUAGGUACCAGUGAGACAUUUAGGUGAACAAAGCUGGUUUGAACAACUUUUGAGAUGGUCAAAAAAGAUCCGGAUUGGACAUCUGUGCUACUGCUAAGUUAGUGCGGGGGUGUGCUGCUCCGUGUCUCCUGGGUCCAGUUGAGGUUGUGUGCUGGGCUCGCUUGCAGUUAAAACAUACCUAAAACAUAUAAAUCCAGCCCAUUCCUCGACACAGGCCGUAAACAUAUAAACGCGACCCAAAGGCCGUAAACAUGUAAACGUGACCGGCACGCGGGUUGACUGAUUACCUAAAAGCAGACCGGCGCAUUACAAAACGUUUCUUUUAUCUUAGUCUUUAAAU
rnacentral:rRNA from 1 species